AUCUUUUUCAUAAGAGGUGAAGCGAAAAGAAUUUGAAUUUCUUAUUUGAAGUAAGAGUUAAUUACAUUGAGCCAACAAAAGAAUGAACAUUAUAUAUGAGUCACCAAGCAAAAUCUCAAGAAAGGCUAAGUGAAAACCAUAAUGACAUAAUGCAAGGUAAGUUGAUGAUUGCUUUGACAAGAAGAUAUUAUAAAAGUAAUAUUGUAAUAAAAUGGCAAAAAGCAAGAGUAUUGAGAGAAUGUACUGAACAGAAAGAGGGAUUAAUGAGUGAAACAAUUGAAAUUAUUAAAAAAGAUUACUAUAAUGGCAUGAUGAUGAUUGUAGAAAAGGGGGGUUUUAAACAGCACCCAUCACUAACCACCCAAUGAUCUGUUUUGCAUUUCUAAAGGGAUCAUCCCAUGGGAAGUCCUGUCUUACAU
rnacentral:lncRNA from 1 species